GCCCUUAGAGUUUGAUCAUGGCUCAGGACGAACGCUGGCGGCGUGCUUAACACAUGCGAGUCGCACGAGCCUCCUUAUCCUGCCUUCGGGCANGAUAAGGACAGGUAAGUGGCGGACGGGUGAGUAACGCGUAGAUAACCUACCUUUGAGUCAGGGAUAACCUUUCGAAAGGAAGGCUAAUCCUUGAUAUCUUUAUCCGGUGCCGGCUGGAUAAAGAAAGAUGGUAUUAUACUAUCGCUCAAAGAGGGGUCUGCGUCGGAUUAGCUAGCUGGUGAGGUAACGGCUCACCAGGGCAACGAUCCGUANCUGGUCUGAGAGGACGAUCAGNCACACUGGGACUGANACACGGCCCAGACUCCUACGGGAGGCUGCAGUGGGGAAUCUUCCGCAAUGGACGAAAGCCUGACGGAGCAACGUCGCGUGAGUGAAGACGGCCUUCGGGUUGUAAAGCUCUGUCCCUGGUGAAGAAAACACUAUGCGCGAAUAGUACAUGGUGUUGACGGUAACCGGGGUAGGAAGCCCUGGCCAACUACGUGCCAG
rnacentral:rRNA from 1 species